GUGGGGAAUAUUGGACAAUGGGCGAAAGCCUGAUCCAGCCAUGCCGCGUGUGUGAAGAAGGCCUUCGGGUUGUAAAGCACUUUAAGCGAGGAGGAAGGUUCGUCACCUAAUACGUGACGGAAUUGACGUUACUCGCAGAAUAAGCACCGGCUAACUCUGUGCCAGCAGCCGCGGUAAUACAGAGGGUGCAAGCGUUAAUCGGAAUUACUGGGCGUAAAGCGCGCGUAGGCGGUUGUGUAAGUUUGAUGUGAAAUCCCCGGGCUUAACCUGGGCACUGCAUUCAAAACUGCACGGCUAGAGGAUUGGAGAGGAAGGUAGAAUUCCAGGUGUAGCGGUGAAAUGCGUAGAGAUCUGGAGGAAUACCGAUGGCGAAGGCAGCCUUCUGGCCAAAUACUGACGCUGAGGUGCGAAAGCAUGGGGAGCAAACAGGAUUAGAUACCCUAGUAGUCC
rnacentral:rRNA from 1 species